UACAGAGGGUGCAAGCGUUAAUCGGAAUUACUGGGCGUAAAGCGCACGUAGGUGGAUAUUUAAGUUGGCUGUGAAAGCCCCGAGCUUAACUUGGGAUGGUCAGCCAAAACUGGAUAUCUAGAGUACAGUAGAGGACAGUGGAAUUUCCGGUGUAGCGGUGAAAUGCGUAGAUAUCGGAAGGAACACCAGUGGCGAAGGCGACUGUCUGGGCUGAUACUGACACUGAGGUGCGAAAGCGUGGGUAGCAAACAGG
rnacentral:rRNA from 1 species